CAGAGCCUGAAAUCCUCUCCCUUUGGUCGAAUCAUGGAAGCAGCACAACCCAUGCCCUUUUCAGUGACAUCCCGGGAUCUGCCUUACGCCUCGUCUGGCUUGUCUUCCUCUGGCCCCACUGUCUGUCGGAGUUCGUUGAGGUUCCAUGUUCAGCACGGAGCCCGAUGCAGGGCUUGAACCCCCGACCCUGAGAUCAAGACCUGAACUGAGAUCAAGAGUUGAUGCUUAACCGACUGAGCCACCAGGCGCCCCUCCUACUGCUUGUUUUAUCCAAACCAGCUGGCCUCCCCAUGAAGCAUAUCCAUGAGACUCAAAAAGUCUCCUUGGCCUGGCCGUGUCUGAACCUCCAAGAAGCCCUACCUCAUGGACAGAGGACUUCACGAUGCCACGGUCCUGGGUGAAAAAUGAGCUUACCCGUGGAAAGCUCAGCAAGUGAACAAAGCCAGGAGCAAUGGACAACAAAGAAAGCUGCAGUGUGGGGUCUGUUCUUGGCAUUUAGGGAAUUACCAACACUUUUGACAAUAUCAAGCCUGACUUUUCUGGAAUGUUGUGCAAGACAGAGAUGUCUCUAUCUAAAUUUGUGCACAGGUCCUCUGUGGAAGUCAGUCAUGGAGGGACGGGAGUGGCUGUUGUGACCACUGCAGACGUUGAGGUGGCAAAAUGCACAAACCCCAAAUGUUGCAUACAGAUCACCCAUUCCUUUUCUUCACCUAGCGCCACAGAACAAAGAGCGUUCUGUGGAAGGUUGUCCUCUCCAUCAGCCAAUUCCUUCUGGCUGUUCUGCUGUAUUCUUCUCUUUCCUGUUACAAUACAUGUGUAGCUGACCUCACCACCCCCCACCCUGCAGGGUGAACACCCUA